rnacentral:misc_RNA from 1 species
UCAACAAUGCAUGAUUAACAAUUACAGCCAGAGAAACUAUCACAUCAUGGGAUGUAUUAGGAUAGGUGGAGUGAUUUCAUUAUGCAAUACAUUAUCAUCUGCUUUGCUGAUGCACAGAUGACAAUGCCAUGUCAGCUUACCCAUUGAGGCACUUACACUCUGAUAGUAUAUAACAAUAAAUAGAAAUCACAUUACAGUCAACAAACACAUCUCCCAUAACCACUGCACCAGCUAUAGUACUGAAGCAUCUAACGUACAGGAAUUAAACUUACACUCUAAGAGUAUUUAACAAUAAAUAGAAAUCACAUUACAGUCAACAAACACAUCUCCCAUAACCACUGCACCAGCUAUAGUACUGAAGCAUCUAACGUACAGGAAUUAAACUUACACUCUAAGAGUAUU